UACGGAGGGGGCAAGCGUUAUUCGGAAUUACUGGGCGUAAAGGGCGCGUAGGCGGCUUUGCAAGUUGGGCGUGAAAGCCCUGGGCUUAACCCAGGAAUUGCGCUUGAGACUGCUAGGCUUGAGUGCGGGAGAGGUGAGUGGAAUUCCCAGUGUAGAGGUGAAAUUCGUAGAUAUUAGGAAGAACACCAGUGGCGAAGGCGGCUCACUGGCCCGGUACUGACGCUGAGGCGCGAAAGCGUGGGGAGCAAACAGG
rnacentral:rRNA from 1 species